UACGUAGGGGGCAAGCGUUGUCCGGAAUCAUUGGGCGUAAAGAGCGUGUAGGCGGCCAGAUAAGUCCGCUGUGAAAUCUCGAGGCUCAACUUCGAGCUGUCGGUGGAAACUGUCUGGCUAGAGUCCGGAAGAGGAGAAUGGAAUUCCUGGUGUAGCGGUGAAAUGCGUAGAUAUCAGGAGGAACACCGGUGGCGAAGGCGGCUCACUGGCUCAUUACUGACGCUCAGGCGCGACAGCGUGGGGAUCAAACAGG
rnacentral:rRNA from 1 species